rnacentral:rRNA from 1 species
UACGUAGGGUGCGAGCGUUAAUCGGAAUUACUGGGCGUAAAGGGUGCGCAGGCGGUUCCGCAAGUCAGGCGUGGAAUCCCCGGGCUUAACCUGGGAAUUGCGCUUGUUACUGGCAGACUUGAGUGUGGCAGAGGGGGGUGGAAUUCCAAGUGUAGCAGUGAAAUGCGUAGAUAUUUGGAGGAACACCGAUGGCGAAGGCAGCCCCCUGGGUUAACACUGACGCUCAUGCACGAAAGCGUGGGGAGCAAACAGG